ensembl:misc_RNA Metazoa_SRP Metazoan signal recognition particle RNA
GCCGGGCGUGGUGGCUCACGCCUGUAAUCCCAGCACUCUGGGAGGUCAUGUUGGUAGAGAUGGGGUUUCAUCAUGUUGCCCAGGCUGGUCUCGAACUCUUGAGCUCAAGUGAGGUAUUUUUGGUAGAUCCUCUGGCCUCACUUGAGCUCAAGAGUUUGAGACCAGCUUGGGCAACAUGGUGAAACCCCAUCUCUA